rnacentral:rRNA from 1 species
UACGUAGGGGGCAAGCGUUGUCCGGAAUUAUUGGGCGUAAAGAGCGUGUAGGCGGUCCGGUAAGUCAGCUGUGAAAGUCAAGGGCUCAACCCUUGAAAGCCGGUUGAUACUGUCGGGCUAGAGUCCGGAAGAGGCGAGUAGAAUUCCUGGUGUAGCGGUGGAAUGCGCAGAUAUCAGGAGGAAUACCCAUAGCGAAGGCAGCUCGCUGGGACGGUACUGACGCUAAGGCGCGAAAGCGUGGGGAGCGAACAGG